rnacentral:lncRNA from 1 species
ACGGAUGGAGCGGCGGAAAUCUCCUCCACUUGACUUUCUCUCUCUUUUCAAAAUUGGGAGACAACUAGCAAAAAUAUGAAAAAAAAUGCAUCCAUUUCUCUUUUCAAUAUACAUUUUUCUUCAUGGUCUCUUUACAAUACCACAUUUUUUUCUCAGGAAGAACUCAUCUCCAUAUUCUUCUUAAUCACCUUUAUAAAUCUUCUUAAUCACCUUUAUAAAUCACCCUCCUAUUUUCCUUCUCCAUUAACCAACCGGAAAACACGAAACCAACCGUGAAACCAUCUCCAAAACCUCAACCGAAUCCCACCGUGAAACAACUAUAAGCAUCACCUCCCUUAGCAAACAACCGUUGGCUCCGUUGCUUUCUCUUCCGGCGAAACAGAAUCACCUCGUCGGUAGCUUUCCCUUCUGAAUCCCUUGCAUUUUUCUUACUUUCAUGUUAUAGUUUUUAUUGUUGUGAUUUAUUACGUUAUUUUCGUUCUCAUGGUCAUUUGGUUGAAACGGUUUAUCGGUUUUAUUUGAAACUGGAUUUUUUGGAAAGGCUUGAUUUUGCUUUAAAACAAAUUGAAAUAUUUGAUAUUGAUGUGUGAACUUGAGUUUUGUUGUGUUAUGUAUUGGAUUUUUGAAUCAAUGAAUGCUUGUUGAUGCUUUGGGAUUUAAACAUGGAGAGAGUUUGAUUUUGAGAUCAUAACAAGAAAGAGUGUUGUGUUACUGUGUUUUGUUUAUUUUCUCUAAAAUCUCAGCCACGUGUCACCAUGCCAUUUGAUACCCUUUAAAUUUUUAAAAAAGAUGGAGGCUAAAUGAGUUGAAUGGGGUACUGCCAUCUACAAUGCAGUAUUUUUUUUUAUUACCUUUCUUUUAUAAUUAUUUUUUUACUUUUUUUAUAUUAUUUAUUUUUAUUUAUAUAUGACUAAUUAGGAUUAAUAUUGACUAUUGGGUUGUGCCUAAUUUGUUUCUAAUGUUUACACCCUCUCGUUCAUGUUGCACCUUUGUUUUUUCUUUUCUUUUUUGAUUUGAUUAUAAUUGAUUUAUCAUAUCUUACUUACUUAAUUAUAUUAUUUUUAAUUACUAAUUAAUUUAUUAAAU